rnacentral:lncRNA from 1 species
UAUUUUCCAAAAAUUAAAGUAGAUACAAAUACUUAGAUAUCAAUAAUGAAAAUGACAGUAACAAUCAAUGGGACUUCUUUCAUUUCUUUGAGCUUCUUGACCACGUAGCUGAAUUGAUGAUUGACCCUUUUGGGAGUUAUGCUACACAACAGUUCAUGGCAGUAUCCUUUCCCGACUAAACAUCAUGACCUUGAGUCCUUAAUCAGUAGCAUCAGUUUCCACACUAACUUCAAUCUAGAAAAGAACAUAUACACCAAACAUUAAAACUCCAUAAACAUGUUCAAGGAAAUCAAGAUAGGCUGGAA